rnacentral:misc_RNA from 1 species
AACGCAAAUUGCGCCCGAGGCCUCGGCCGAGGGCAUGUCUGCCUCAGCGUCGGCUUACACCCUCGCUCCCCUUUCCCUUUGUGGGCAAUCGGAGCGGACCUGGCCUUCCCGGCUCCCGUCGAUUGGCGGCCCGGGUCGGUUGAAGCUUAGAGGCUUGAGCAUGGACCCCGUUUGUAGGGCGAUGGCUUGGUAGGUAGGUUAGCCCCUACACGGCCUGCCGUCGUCCGAGGGGACUUUGCUGGAGGCCCAGCAGGAAUUCGGGUGCCGGCUCUGCCCGCCCCGAACUUUAACUUUCGACCUGAGCUCAGGCAAGACUACCCGCUGAACUUAA